rnacentral:tRNA from 1 species
GCCGCUGUGGCGAAAUUGGCAAACGCACAUCACUCAAGAUGAUGCGGGAGAAAUCCCUUGUCGGUUCAAGUCCGACCAGCGGCA